rnacentral:rRNA from 1 species
GAUGAACGCUGGCGGCGUGCCUAAUACAUGCAAGUCGAGCGAACAGACGAGAGUGCUUGCACUCUCUGACGUUAGCGGCGGACGGGUGAGUAACACGUGGGUAACCUACCUAUAAGACUGGGAUAACUCCGGGAAACCGGAGCUAAUACCGGAUAAUAUUUAGCUUCGCAUGAAGCAAUAGUGAAAGACGGUUCUGCUGUCACUUAUAGAUGGACCCGCGGUGUAUUAGCUAGUUGGUGAGGUAACGGCUCACCAAGGCAACGAUACAUAGCCGACCUGAGAGGGUGAUCGGCCACACUGGGACUGAGACACGGCCCAGACUCCUACGGGAGGCAGCAGUAGGGAAUCUUCCGCAAUGGACGAAAGUCUGACGGAGCAAUGCCGCGUGAGUGAAGAAGGUGUUCGGAUCGUAAAACUCUGUUGUAAGGGAAGAACAAGUACGUUAGUAACUGAACGUACCUUGACGGUACCUUACCAGAAAGCCACGGCUAACUACGUG